rnacentral:rRNA from 1 species
AGAAUCAACGCUGGCGGCGUGCCUAACACAUGCAAGUCGCACGAGAAAGUGGAGCAAUCCAUGAGUAAAGUGGCGCACGGGUGAGUAACACGUGAAUGAUCUACCUCCGAGUGGGGAAUAACUGAGAGAAAUCUUGGCUAAUACCGCAUAAUACCCACGGGUCAAAGCAGCAAUGCGCUUGGAGAGGAGUUCGCGGCAGAUUAGUUAGUUGGCGGGGUAAUGGCCCACCAAGACGAUGAUCUGUAUCCGGCCUGAGAGGGCGCACGGACACACUGGAACUGAAACACGGUCCAGACUCCUACGGGAGGCAGCAGUGGGGAAUUUUGCGCAAUGGGGAAACCCUGACGCAGCAACGCCGCGUGGAGGAUGAAGCCCCUUGGGGUGUAAACUCCUUUCGAUCGGGAAGAUAAUGACGGUACCGAUAUAAGAAGCCCGGCUAACUUCGUGCCAGCAGCCGC